rnacentral:rRNA from 1 species
GAUGAACGCUGGCGGCGUGCCUAAUACAUGCCAGUCGAGCGAACGGACGAGAAGCUUGCUUCUCUGAUGUUAGCGGCGGACGGGUGAGUAACACGUGGAUAACCUACCUAUAAGACUGGGAUAACUUCGGGAAACCGGAGCUAAUACCGGAUGAUAUUUUGAACCGCAUGGUUCAAAAGUGAAAGACGGUCUUGCUGUCACUUAUAGAUGGAUCCGCGCUGCAUUAGCUAGUUGGUAAGGUAACGGCUUACCAAGGCAACGAUGCAUAGCCGACCUGAGAGGGUGAUCGGCCACACUGGAACUGAGACACGGUCCAGACUCCUACGGGAGGCAGCAGUAGGGAAUCUUCCGCAAUGGGCGAAAGCCUGACGGAGCAACGCCGCGUGAGUGAUGAAGGUCUUCGGAUCGUAAAAAUCUGUUAUUAGGGAAGAACAUAUGUGUAAGUAACUGUGCACAUCUUGACGGUACCUAAUCAGAAAGCCACGGCUAACUACGUG